AUGGAGGUGCCCGUGUUCUGGUUGGGGUCGCUCCGGCCCUGCGCCGUCACCGUGUUGCACUGCCCCUGCAUCGGCAGCCUGGAGUAGAAGGUGCAGCCCUGGAAGACGACGGCGGCGUUGCCGAACACGUAGUCCACGGUGCCGUAGACGUCGCAGCCGCGGUAGAACUGCCGGAGGGAGUGCGUGUACAGCGUGUCCUGGUACGCCUCGAAGCUGCAGCCGUAGUACGCCGACAGGUCCGCGCCGGAGCGGAACGCCACCGCCUGGUGCUUCGCCGGCCCCGCCGUGUUCCGGAACGUCAUGUUCAUCGCCACGAAUCCUUGCCCCACCACGGCUGCAUGCGCGCGUGUAUCAGCAACCAUGGAGAAGACGAUCGAUUAGGCUUUGUUUGGAUGUAGUCGGAUUUACAUCAAUCCGCAUGUAUUGAGGUGGAUUGGUGUGGAACUUGAACUACAUUCUAUUCCAAUCCACACCAACACACAUGGAUUGAAGUGAAUUCGACAAAUCCAAACAAAGCCUUAGUGAUGAAGAGCACAGCAAGUUUCAUGCAUGGUGAAGAAAAAAAAAUUAAAGAAGUUGGGGAGACAAACAGUAAAGGAUAAUAUAUCUUGCAUGUGUGUGAUCGUGCGCACGAUUAAUGAUGUGACGAGACCACAAUCCUCCUUGUGGAAUGGGACCAAAUAAAAGCGACGCGUUUUUUAGGUUUCAGACCCCCUAUCUCAUCCAUAUAUAUAUGUGCGCCUAAUGUCACACUUGGCUGGCACUCCAGUUUAUAUUGAAAGUGCAAGCUCACUGUGGCAAGUUUCAAUUAUGUAUAUUUUAAUCAAUUUUCAAAUCGUAACAACGCAACAGGAUGCAUGGCAUACCGAAGGUGGCCGAUUGGAAGGUGGUCCAGCCGUCGACGACGCUCCGGUUGCCGGUGACCACGGUCUGGCCGAUGCCGUCGCCGACCAUCAUGAUGUACUUGUUGUGCUUGGCUCAUCCAUAUAUAUAUGUGCGCCUAAUGUCACACUUGGCUGGCACUCCAGUUUAUAUUGAAAGUGCAAGCUCACUGUGGCAAGUUUCAAUUAUGUAUAUUUUAAUCAAUUUUCAAAUCGUAACAACGCAACAGGAUGCAUGGCAUACCGAAGGUGGCCGAUUGGAAGGUGGUCCAGCCGUCGACGACGCUCCGGUUGCCGGUGACCACGGUCUGGCCGAUGCCGUCGCCGACCAUCAUGAUGUACUUGUUGUGCUUGGGCACCACCACGUUCUCCUCGUAGACGCCGGCAAGCACGUAGACCACGUAGUAGCCGGU
rnacentral:lncRNA from 1 species